rnacentral:pre_miRNA from 1 species
AGAGUAUAGUGCAGCCAAGGAUGACUUGCCGGCGACCAGAUAAGUUUAUGGCUAUCCCUCUACCGGCAAGUUGUCAUUGGCUAUAUUAGACUUUCU